GAGAAAAUAUGAACGGUCUCGUGGAGAGCCUGCUGGGGGGAGCCACUGUGGGGGAGCGCACAUGCCAGCCAGCGCUUAAUUGCGCGGCGGCUGUGGGUGCUCUGCCGGGCGCCCUCUGCGAAGGCGGCUCUGCACAGAGAACAACAUACACACAGUGGAGACGCGUAUGCACGUUUUUCUGGGUGCAUUGGUGCUUUGGGCUGGCGACGGCCCACAGUGCGGCACGCAAAACACAAACAAAAAUGCAGUUGCAAGAAACAGUCAGCAAAAGUAUAAAAAACAUAUACACAAAUAUUCA
rnacentral:rRNA from 1 species